AUUCGCGGCCUAUCAGCUUGUUGGUGAGGUAACGGCUCACCAAGGCUUCGACGGGUAGCCGGCCUGAGAGGGCGGCCGGCCACACUGGGACUGAGAUACGGCCCAGACUCCUACGGGAGGCAGCAGUGGGGAAUAUUGCACAAUGGGCGAAAGCCUGAUGCAGCAACGCCGCGUGCGGGAUGACGGCCUUCGGGUUGUAAACCGCUUUCAGCAGGGACGAAGCGCAAGUGACGGUACCUGCAGAAGAAGGACCGGCUAACUACGUGCCAGCAGCCGCGGUGAUACGUAGGGUCCGAGCGUUGUCCGGAAUUAUUGGGCGUAAAGAGCUCGUAGGCGGUCUGUCGCGUCGGAAGUGAAAACUCAGGGCUUAACCCUGAGCCUGCUUUUGAUACGGGCAGACUAGAGGUAUGCAGGGGAGAAUGGAAUUCCUGGUGGAGCGGUGGAAUGCGCAGAUAUCAGGAGGAACACCAGUGGCGAAGGCGGUUCUCUGGGCAUUACCUGACGCUGAGGAGCGAAAGCGUGGGGAGCAAACAGGCUUAGAUACCCUGGUAGUCCACGCCGUAAACGGUGGGCACUAGGUGUGGGGGACAUUCCACGUUCUCCGUGCCGAAGCUAACGCAUUAAGUGCCCCGCCUGGGGAGUACGGAAU
rnacentral:rRNA from 1 species